rnacentral:rRNA from 1 species
GACGAACCGUGCGAACGUUGUUCGGAAUCACUGGGCUUAAAGGGCGCGUAGGCGGGCGACCAAGUCAGGGGUGAAAUCCUCCGGCUCAACCGGAGAACAGCCUUUGAUACUGGUCACCUCGAGGGAGGUAGGGGCAUGUGGAACUUCCGGUGGAGCGGUGAAAUGCGUAGAUAUCGGAAGGAACGCCGGUGGCGAAAGCGACGUGCUGGACCUCUUCUGACGCUGAGGCGCGAAAGCUAGGGGAGCAAACGGG